UACGGAGGGUGCAAGCGUUGUCCGGAUUUAUUGGGUUUAAAGGGGGCGUAGGCGGCUUUUUAAGUCAGCGGUGAAAGACAACAGCUCAACUGUUGCAGUGCCAUUGAUACUGAAGAGCUUGAGUACAGAUGAGGUAGGCGGAAUUUAUGGUGUAGCGGUGAAAUGCAUAGAUACCAUAAAGAACCCCUAUUGCGAAGGCAGCUUACUAAGCUGUAACUGACGCUGAGGCACGAAAGUGUGGGGAUCAAACAGG
rnacentral:rRNA from 1 species